GCUGGGUGUGGGGGCGGGCACCUGUAAUCCCAGCUACUCGGGAGGCUGAGGCAGGAGAAUCGCUUGAACCCGGGAGGCAGAGGUUGCAGUGAGCCGAGAUCGAGCCACUGCACUCCAGCCUGGGAGACAGAGCGAGACUCUGUCUCAA
ensembl:misc_RNA Metazoa_SRP Metazoan signal recognition particle RNA